rnacentral:snRNA from 1 species
GUGCUCACUUUGGCAGCACAUAUACUAAAAUUGGAAUGAUACAGAGAAGACUAGCAUGGCCCCUGUGCAAGGAUGACAUGCAAAUUCGUGAAGUGUUCCAUAUUUAG